rnacentral:rRNA from 1 species
AGUGAACGCUGGCGGUAGGCCUAACACAUGCAAGUCGAACGGCAGCACAGGAGAGCUUGCUCUCUGGGUGGCGAGUGGCGGACGGGUGAGGAAUACAUCGGAAUCUACUCUGUCGUGGGGGAUAACGUAGGGAAACUUACGCUAAUACCGCAUACGACCUACGGGUGAAAGCAGGGGAUCUUCGGACCUUGCGCGAUUGAAUGAGCCGAUGUCGGAUUAGCUAGUUGGCGGGGUAAAGGCCCACCAAGGCGACGAUCCGUAGCUGGUCUGGGAGGAUGAUCAGCCACACUGGAACUGAGACACGGUCCAGACUCCUACGGGAGGCAGCAGUGGGGAAUAUUGGACAAUGGGCGCAAGCCUGAUCCAGCCAUACCGCGUGGGUGAAGAAGGCCUUCGGGUUGUAAAGCCCUUUUGUUGGGAAAGAAAUCCAGCUGGCUAAUACCCGGUUGGGAUGACGGUACCCGAAGAAUAAGCACCGGCUAACUUCGUGCCAGCCGCCGCGGUAA